rnacentral:rRNA from 1 species
UACGUAGGUUGCAAGCGUUAUCCGGAAUUAUUGGGCGUAAAGAGCUCGUAGGCGGUUUGUCACGUCUGCUGUGAAAACUGGAGGCUCAACCUCCAGCCUGCAGUGGGUACGGGCAGACUAGAGUGCGGUAGGGGAGAGUGGAAUUCCUGGUGUAGCGGUGGAAUGCGCAGAUAUCAGGAGGAACACCGAUGGCGAAGGCAGGUCUCUGGGCCACUACUGACGCUGAGAAGCGAAAGCAUGGGGAGCGAACAGG